AGAGUUUGAUCAUGGCUCAGGACGAACGCUGGCGGCGUGCUUAACACAUGCAAGUCGAGCGGAAAGGCCCUUCGGGGUACUCGAGCGGCGAACGGGUGAGUAACACGUGAGUAACCUGCCCUGGACUUUGGGAUAACCCUCGGAAACGGGGGCUAAUACCGAAUAUGACAUUCCACCGCAUGGUGUGUUUGUGGAAAGUUUUUCGGUCUGGGAUGGGCUCGCGGCCUAUCAGCUUGUUGGUGGGGUGAUGGCCUACCAAGGCGACGACGGGUAGCCGGCCUGAGAGGGCGACCGGCCACACUGGGACUGAGACACGGCCCAGACUCCUACGGGAGGCAGCGGUGGGGAAUAUUGCACAAUGGGCGGAAGCCUGAUGCAGCGACGCCGCGUGAGGGAUGACGGCCUUCGGGUUGUAAACCUCUUUCAGCAGGGACGAAGCGCAAGUGACGGUACCUGCAGAAGAAGCGCCGGCCAACUACGUGCCAGCAGCCGCGGUAAGACGUAGGGCGCGAGCGUUGUCCGGAUUUAUUGGGCGUAAAGAGCUCGUAGGCGGCUUGUCGCGUCGACUGUGAAAACCCGCGGCUCAACCGCGGGCCUGCAGCCGAUACGGGCAGGCUAGAGUUCGGUAGGGGAGACUGGAAUUCCUGGUGUAGCGGUGAAAUGCGCAGAUAUCAGGAGGAACACCGAUGGCGAAGGCAGAUCUCUGGGCCGUAACUGACGCUGAGGAGCGAAAGCAUGGGGAGCGAACAGGAUUAGAUACCCUAGUAGUCC
rnacentral:rRNA from 1 species